GACGAACGCUGGCGGCGUGCUUAACACAUGCAAGUCGAACGGAAAGGCCCUGCUUUUGUGGGGUGCUCGAGUGGCGAACGGGUGAGUAACACGUGAGUAACCUGCCCUUGACUUUGGGAUAACUUCAGGAAACUGGGGCUAAUACCGGAUAGGAGCUCCUGCUGCAUGGUGGGGGUUGGAAAGUUUCGGCGGUUGGGGAUGGACUCGCGGCUUAUCAGCUUGUUGGUGGGGUAGUGGCUUACCAAGGCUUUGACGGGUAGCCGGCCUGAGAGGGUGACCGGCCACAUUGGGACUGGGAUACGGCCCAGACUCCUAGGGGGGGAAGAGGGGGGGAAUUUUGCAAAAGGGGGGGAAGCCUGUUGCAGCAACGCCGGGGGGGGGAUGCGGGCCUUGGGGUUGUAAACCGCUUUCGCCUGGGACGAAGGGGGGGUGACGGUAAUGGGAAAAGAAGCACCGGCUAACUACGU
rnacentral:rRNA from 1 species